AACGAACGCUGGCGGCAUGCCUAACACAUGCAAGUCGAACGAUUGCCUUCGGGUGAUAGUGGCGCACGGGUUCGUAACGCGUGGUAAUCUGCCCUUAGGUUCGGAAUAACAGCUGGAAACGGCUGCUAAUACCGGAUGAUAUCGCGAGAUCAAAGAUUUAUCGCCUGAGGAUGAGCCCGCGUUGGAUUAGGUAGUUGGUGGGGUAAAGGCCUACCAAGCCGACGAUCCAUAGCUGGUCUGAGAGGAUGAUAAGCCACAAUGGGACUGAGACACGGCCCAGACUGCUACGGGAGGCAGCAGUGGGGAAUAUUGGACAAUGGGCGCAAGCCUGAUCAAGCAAUGCCGCGUGAGUGAUGAAGGCCCUAGGGUUGUAAAGCUCUUUUAGACGGGAAGAUAAUGACUGUACCGGGAGAAUAAGCCCCGGCUAACUCCGUG
rnacentral:rRNA from 1 species